GAGUAAAGGCUCCGGCGCUCUGGGAGGGGCUUGCGGCCCAUCAGCUAGUUGGUAGGGUAAAGGCCUACCAAGGCGAAGACGGGUAGGGGGUGUGAGAGCACGACCCCCCACAAUGGGACUGAAACACGGCCCAUACUCCUACGGGAGGCAGCAGCAGGGAAUAUUGCACAAUGGGCGAAAGCCUGAUGCAGCGACGCCGCGUGAGUGAAGAAGGCCUUCGGGUCGUAAAGCUCUUUUGUAGGGGAAGGGGAAGGACGGUACCCUGAGAAAAAGCGUCGGCUAACUACGUGCCAGCAGCCGCGGUAAGACGUAGGACGCGAGCGUUAUCCGGAAUUACUGGGCGUAAAGGGCCAGCAGGCGGCUAGGUAAGUUGUGCGUGAAAGCCUCGUGCUCAACGCGAGGAAGCCGGACAAUACUGUCUAGCUGGAGGGCAUCAGAGGGGAGUGGAAUUCCCGGAGUAGCGGUAAAAUGCGCAGAUAUCGGGAGGAACACCGAUGGCGAAGGCAACUCCCUGGGGUGUACCUGACGCUAAGUGGCGAAAGCUAGGGGGGCGAACAGGAUUAGAGACCCUGGUAGUCCUAGCUGUAAACGCUGGGUGCUAGGUGUGGGGCGUAGAAGCUCUGUGCCGGAGCGAACGCGAUAAGCACCCCGCCUGGGAAUUACGGUCGCAAGGCUAAAACUCAAACGAAUUGACGGGGCCCCGCACAAGCAGCGGAGCGUGUGGUUCAAUUCGAUGCUACACGAAGAACCUUACCUGGGUUUGACAUGUACGUGGUAGAGAAGCGAAAGCGGAUUGACCCUUCGGGGAGCGUACACAGGUGCUGCAUGGCUGUCGUCAGCUCGUGCCGUGAGGUGUCGGGUUAAGUCCCGUAACGAGCGCAACCCUUGCCCUUAGUUACAAGUGUCUAGGGGGACUGCCGGCGGGAAGCCGGAGGAAGGUGGGGAUGACGUCAAGUCAGCAUGGCCCUUAUGUCCAGG
rnacentral:rRNA from 1 species